AGGGACAGUGAGAAGGGCCCAUCAGGCUCUGGAGGGAGCAGGAAGCCACAGCGCAGAGGCCCCUGGGGGCCCCUCCCAGCAGGCAGGGCGUUUGUUUAGGGUGUUGCCAGGCAACUAGCCACGUGGGGCGACAGACUGGUUGGGAGAUCAGCUAUGGAUGCAGAAGCAAAGCCUGGCGCUCACCAGGGGGGACCAGGUUCCAGCUCAGUGGGGCUGGAAAGCAGAGGCAGCCACCUCAGGGGCCUGGCACUCCUGUCUGGUUCUGGCCCAGCCUGAGUCUGAGCUUGCUGCAGGUGGGCAGGGCAGGGCUCUGGGCUGAGGAGAGAGGAGGCCCCGGGUGGUCCCUACUGGCCCCUGCUGAGGCAUCCCUGAAACUGCAUCCUCCCUAGUCUCCAAUCCUCCCUUCUCUGGAGCCCCUAAGUCUCCUCAGCUCAACUCCGGGUCCUACUGGGAAACAAAGGGGAAGGAGAUGCCAGGGAAAUAAGCUUCCAGCCCCAUCUCCAUCCUCCUUGCCUCCCAGCCAGGCUUCACAGCAGUUUCUGGCUCCAAAAUUCCCAGAGCCCUGGGGGCUGCCUGUGUCCCCCGGAAGCAUAAGGAAUUCCAUCUGCCACCCACCCCCCAACUGGUGCUCCACGCCCCCCGGGAAUGAGGCUACCUGCAGCUGCUGUCGACACCAACUCCAAAUGGGUCCCCAGCUGAACAGGGCGCCCUCCCAGCCGGCUCCCACCUUGCAGCGCCCCCCUCGUGCCUCCCCAGCAGGAAGCUCUCCAAGGACCUCGGCGCUGACCCUG